rnacentral:rRNA from 1 species
AGAGUUUGAUCCUGGCUCAGGAUGAACGCUAGCUGGAGGCUUAAUACAUGCAAGUCGAGCGGGAUUGACCAGCAAUGGUCAUGAGAGCGGCGCACGGGUGAGUAACGCGUACACGACCUACCUCUAACAGGGGGAUAGCCCUGGGAAACUGGGAUUAAUACCGCAUAUAAUUCUGAUUUUAAAAGGUUGGAAUGAAAGUUCAGGCGGUUAGAGAUGGGUGUGCGUCUGAUUAGCUAGUUGGUAAGGUAACGGCUUACCAAGGCGAUGAUCAGUAGGGGGCGUGAGAGCGUGGACCCCCACACGGGUACUGAGACACGGACCAGACUCCUACGGAAGGCAGCAGUGAGGAAUAUUGGACAAUGGGCGCAAGCCUGAUCCAGCCAUGCCGCGUGCAGGAAGACGGCCCUAUGGGUUGUAAACUGCUUUUAUACAGGAAGAAACACUCCCUCGUGAGGGAACUUGACGGUACUGUAUGAAUAAGCACCGGCUAACUCCGUGCCAGCAGCCGCGGU